ACCAACGUCGUCUCUAUCGCAGGAAAAAAAUAGCGAGCAGCCUGAUAACCAAAUGAAAUGCUCGGCAGGCCGGAUUCGGCCCGCGGGCUGCAGUUUGCCCAUCCCUGUCUUAGAGUAUCUGGGAUCCUGGCACCUGACUGUAGUAUAUCAGUUUAAUCUCUGGACUUUCCUGGAAUACAAGCUGUGUGUGUUUUAUUUGAGAGAAUGAUGGAAAAGAGUGAAAUUGUUAACAUCAUAAAGUCCAAUAAAAAAAAAAAAUCCAAACCCAACACAUCUCCUGACGUGUGUGUCUAUAAGACACUAAAAGGCUCCUAACAAUACACAAAGAGCGAAAUGGCUCAGGGGCCGGUUUCCUGAUAACAUUCACUCUUAGUGAGUUAUGAAGACUCCAAACGUAAACCUUACCAAAGUUGUUCACCUUUAUAGUCGUGGUUCCCGAGUCUUCUUACGAAAAGUUUUACAUUUGACGUACAAGGCACUGUCCACCCUGAAGGUGGCGAAUUGGUUGACAUCAUAAAAAAGUAGAAAUUAAAUGAUUUCAGUUUUCAUAAGGUCUGGAGGGGGAAGAUCCGCAAUCUGUCGGCAUGACCAGCUAUAACCCCCUAACACUUUUACCCACUACGCCAUCCUUCAUCACUUCAUUUCAAGAACAUUUGAAUAAACAGUGAUAUUGUACCAUAUUUGAGUUGCAUGCGCAACGGAGGUUUCUAAAGAUUGCUGUACAGUGGCGGCGACUAGCAUUGUGAGCUGAAACAUUGCUAAGGUGCAGCGUGUUCCAGACCACUCUUACCAACCUAUUACCAAAUCAACCUCUUACCUAACUAUUUCUAGCAACUAAAAAUAUUUAUUUCAAUCUUGGAUAAGUCCUGCACUCAUUACUAUCGAUUUUCAAUGGUUUCCUCAAGUACUUAUUUUGUAUAUUGAUUAAAAAAAAGCCAUGUUGCCUCAAAGCAACAAUAUGCAGCAGUGGACUGCAGAUUCUAUGUUUUAUGCUUGGUUGUAAACAUGCCAUUGAGAUGUCAGGGAAUCACCAAAUAUUCAAAUUUUCACAAUAUACCUUGUUUUGGUAUAUUAUUGUCAUAAAUAACAAUAUUUUUUAAUAGUAUAAUUGAUUUAACUAUUCCAUAUAGAAAUAUCUGUCAUUAUCUAUGACUGUAGCUUCCAAUGGAUGUGAGAGUGUGUGUGUGUGAUCAUGUGUGGGCCCAAAUUGGUUGUCGCUACUGCUGAUUGGAUAGUGAAUAGUGAGGUCCAUUGAUAUGCCGCACCAGCGCUCCUCACAAGCCCUGGUGGAGCAGUCAUACUUGUCCAUUUGCUACUAUACAGGAAGGACAAGUUGUAAUAAGGUGUCCAUUGCUCAAAAACUGCAAAAGGAUUAUGAAUGGUACGUGCAAGAGAGUGAGGUGGCCAAGGGGAAAUGGGGUGAGGGACAGCGCCCAGGGUAUAGUGGGGCUUACAGUAGACCGCUUGACCUCACUAUCCUCACCUGUGCCCGCCUCCUUUUAUUUUCCUGCUGUAGUGGUCAAAAAGACUCUGGGAAAACCAUUGGCAAAGGCCUAUAGGCCCAGCACAAGAUUGCGUGGUGAUGUAUGUUCAGGGCUCAGGGUGGGUCCUUUUGGUUCCCGAGCACCUUUGUACUGUACUCACCUUACCCCCUGAAAGUCAGGGGGCUGAGCAAGAACCAACUCUGUACAUAUGACAUGUACUUUAUAGCAAUGAUUUGAAUGAUGACCGUCUCUUUUAGAGCCAUUGAGUGAAUUUAAAGCAUAAAAACUGAACUGAAAAUGAGUUUGGUAAAACUUGUUUCUUUUGUUGUGCAUUGUUGCUAUAGGUAACAAACCUCCACGAAAAUGACCACCGAUGCUAUCUGGCUUGUUUUGUCAGUGCAAAUUAUUCUGUAUAUGUUAUUUAAUGAGUACUUUCAUAAAAUCAGAACAGCAACUCGG